rnacentral:misc_RNA from 1 species
GUGAAUCAUCGAAUUUUUGAACGCAAAUUGCAAUCUCUGGUAUUGCGGAGAGUAUACCUGUUUGAGGGUCAGUUUAAAUAAAAAUCGGUGUGGUUGCUGCCUUUCGUGGUGACGCACCGGAUGUGGGUCGUCUUGUCUUCGGUUAGGUGACCUAAAAUUUUGCAUGAUUUUUUCGAACGUAUUUAAAUGAUUUGAGGUCGGUUGCGGAAUCGGAAAAUUAGGUGGGGUAAU